UAAAUAGAUAUUGAAAAGCAAUUAUCACAUAUUCAACUGCAUUUGCAUUAAUUACCAUAAAUAACAAGUGAAAUUUAUACAUUUCACGGCCUAUCUGAAGUGUGAAAUGAGUGAGUUUUCAUAACUAAUGAAUGCCAACAUGUUAUUUCAUAUUGACAGGUUGUCUGUGAUUAUGCUGGGAAAAUAACUAGUAUCGUUGCAAGGUGGCCUGGACUGGUAGCAGCCACGAUGCCAGGAUCUUUUCUGAGUGUGCACUGAAUUGACAGCUUCAUGCUAGGGCAUAUGAAUAACAGUUGAUUCUUGGAGAUAGACUAUAGGGUAUCCAUGCCUUCUCUGCCUCAUCAGAAGCCAUUUCUUCAUUCAGAGGGUCGACCACAGAUGUGCUUUAAAGGCCAUCUGUACUAGUUCAG